rnacentral:misc_RNA from 1 species
GAUGAAGAACGUAGCGAACGUGCGAAACGUGAUGUGAAUUGCAGAAUUCAGUGAAUCAUCGAAUCUUUGAACGCAUCUUGCGCUCCUUGGUAUUCCGAGGAGCAUGCCUGUUUGAGUGUCGUGAAUACUCUCAACUUCAACCCUUUUUUCGGAAAGGGAGGAAGGUUGGACUUGGGUGUUUGUUGAAGUGCGAGCUUCGACUCAUCCUAAAUGCAUUAGCGAUCUGCCUCGAUCACACACAAUGUGAUAAUUAAAACUAAAGCAUUGUUUAAUGAUCAAGUCGAGACUGCUUCUAACUGUCGCAAGACAAUAACGUGCAUACAUUUGUGCAUGUCAUUUGACCUCAAAUCAGGUAGGACUACCCGCUGAACUUAAGCAUAUCAAUAAGCGGAGGA